GGGCGGUCUCCUCCUAAAGAGUAACGGAGGAGUACGAAGGUGCGCUCAGACCGGUCGGAAAUCGGUCGCAGAGUAUAAAGGCAAAAGCGCGCUUGACUGCGAGACAGACACGUCGAGCAGGUACGAAGUAGGUCUUAGUGAUCCGGUGGUUCUGUAUGGAAGGGCCAUCGCUCAACGGAUAAAAGGUACUCCGGGGAUAACAGGCUGAUACCGCCCAAGAGUUCAUAUCGACGGCGGUGUUUGGCACCUCGA
rnacentral:rRNA from 1 species